AAAUUCUAAAAUUGUGUUCGGUAAGUAAUUUUGUUUUUUAUUUUUUUAAUUCAUAAUCAAAAUUUUUUAGAAUUUUAAAAAUAGAUUUUUGUUGAUUUUAAAAUUUUUAAAAACACUUUUUUUUCUCUCUCUGGCUUGUCUUCCUCCUCUCUUCACUGUCCGAUGAUCAUCCAUGGCUUAGCAAGUCCACCAUGCUAGAUCGCCACUGGCCUUCAUUAUCGGCGGUCGAGUUCAUCUUUACCGUUGAGUUCAGCAAUAAUAUUAGUUCCCAGAAAAAGACAUAUUUUGAUGGAGAUGAAGAAAUUCCUAAAGCACAAGAUACUACUAUAGAAAGCAACUAUGAAACUUUGAAUGAUAGUGUUGAGUUUAGCAUUUCAAGAGAUCAAAUUCGUGAAAUGGCUAAUGUUCGUG